UUCUUUUCUGGGUUUCCAAGCAUGGAAGCACAUUUUUUCAGUCCUCUUUUGUUUAGCUCCAUCCUAUUUCUUACCACAUGCUAUAUGUUGAUUAAUCCUAUAUGUUUUCUUGUGCAGGGUGCUCAAGGGGUUCGGCCAAGUCGGAUGCCAGGCGGUGCGCGCAGCCGAGGAGCACUGGCAGCAGGCGCUUGAUGCGACGCUCCCCGCGUCGCCGCCGCUCAUUCGCGGCUCCUCCUCCUCCCCAACGGAUCGCGACUGAACCUUCCUUAUGCCAGCACCUCGUGGCCAUGAAGGGUGGCUGAGCCAUCAAGAGCGGCGGCGGUGUCCUGCCGCGGACGCUGCUGCGGCUCCCUCCUCUUCCUCGCCGGCUUCUACCUGCUUUGUGCCGACGCCAUGUACAUCAUGUCCUCCCGGUGCUUCUGCUUUCCCGGGUCGCAACUCUUUGGUGUGCUCGACAAGAUGUGCAUGAAGAAAAGGGCCACUGGAUUGUACAGGAAGAACGGGAUGUUGUUCUCUGCUGCUCGACCACAUUGCCCCUGAACCAUUUCUCUUGCCAGUCCUUCAAAGUCCCUCAAAAAGUCAGCGGAUUCUCGCCCUUUGGGUUUGCUUAGCCAUACUAUGAAGAUGCUCUAUUCAACUUGGCCUUUGUGUGAUGAACAUCAAAUCAUUGAUGCAUUUGUAUCUCCUUUGGCUGGAUACAGAGUUCCAUAUUCCGAGAAGAAGGGCUUAAAUGAUGUAUGUGGAUAAUUGAAGGGCAGCAUUAAUAGGUAACCUGCAAUUAUUGUAUUUUUAGGCAAGAUAGGAUAUUUAUUCUUAAUGCUUACAGAUUGCUGGUACCACAUGGAUCAUAUUUAUU